rnacentral:lncRNA from 1 species
AGAAGGAUGUAACUUGAUCAAUAUCUGAGAUGGAAAAUGACACUUAGAUACACAUAGAGAAUCUGCUAGAUUAUCCGGGGUGUAAACUGGGAAAAAUUGUAAAACAACUAUCAGAAGAGAUUGGUGAUAGCUGCAAUCUCUAGCUCAAUGGCAACGCAAAAUAGGAAGCUUCAUAAAGUAGAACAACAGGAACCCUUUCAGAUUCUGUCCCAGAGAGACUGUCGGGAAGGAGCUGCUUACACCCAGAAUAACCAGAGCCAUGCUAAACACAGACAGCCUCAGAAAAUUACCACUGCACUCUUGGUAAGAGAUGUUUAAUAAAGAGAGAGGGGAGAGAGGGAAGAAGGAAGAUAGGAAAGGGAUGGAGGGAUAAAGGGGGAGGAGGAGAAUGAGUGAUUUCUAAACCUUACCUUUUUCUAGUAUUCUUUGCCCUUGGCUGGAGCAAGAGUGAGAGCAAGAGUUAAGAUGACAAUAACAGUGUUGAAAUAGAUACCUGUUGACUGCUGCUCAAUGGCCCAAGCCUUAUGUACACUGUGUUCUUUGGAAACUCGGGGCUAUAUGCUGAAAUCUGGCAACAGAAUUACUUCCACACUAUGGGGAAGUUAUCUUUGCACCAUAACUCUGUGGUGUCCAGUGAAGCAGAAGCAUAUUUAGAACUAUAAAGAAUAUGCAGGCUAACACAGACACAGGUUCAAGGACACUUGCCAGGUAUCAAGAAGGAACUACCUUCAGGGAUGGGGACUGCGUUUACAACCUGAUCUUUGAAGAUGGCUCAUCCCAAGGAUUGGAGCAAGCAUUCACAACUGGACUCCUGAAGAAGUACCCAGAGCUGUCAUCUCCACUUAUGAUACAAUUUUUAACUUAUGACUGCCCACUGAUGGAUCAGCAUCAGAGACCCAAACAUGCAAGGGACAAGAGUGUUGAGACUAGAUCAGACCAACAAGCAUUCAUCUGCUAAAAGCCUCAUCUAGCAUCCAGCUUUAAUGUCUUCACAUUUACUGCUUCUUCUGUUAACACACAAUGUUAUCUAGAGACCAGCUUUCCCUGCUUGCUCUUCUCCAUGCCCCCUUCCCUUUAUCAUUGUUUUUUCAUUUUUUUCAUAUUUUUGAUAGGUUUUCUCUAAGAACACAUCUAGCUAGUGUAGCAGUCUCUGUAUCUGAGAAUCCAGAGGAGCAGGACAACUUCAGAUGAUUUGACUCUCUUUCUUUAAGGAUAAUCGUUUGGGGGUAUAUUUUAUUCUCUAUUGGGUAUUGGGAAUUGAGGCUGGUGCCGUGUACACCAAUCUAGCAGAAGAAAAUAACACCUCCACUCUACUAUAACUUAGUUUUUCUUGAAUUUUGCAAAUAAUUCUACUAAAAGAGUAAGUACAAUUAAAAUAAAUCAAUAAAUGACCUAAUCCCAGUAUACAAGGCCCAAUACAAAAUCACAAGAUACUUGAAAAACAUUUGGAUGGCAUGACUCCAUCUAAUCAUCUUAAACCCAUUGUAAUGUCCUGAAGUAAGAAUGGAUAUGAUGAAAUCACAGACAAAGAAUCCCAAAGAAUGAUGGCAAGUGUGUUCCAAGUAAUCAAAGAGGACACAACCUUUUGAAUGAAUCUAAGACACAACAAAUAGCUGAAUGAAAUAAGGCAGCUGAUACAGGAUAUGAAAGUAGAAUUCAAUAUGGAGAUAUAGGUGCUAGAAAACACUGAAAUACUGGAAAUGAAAGGUUCAAUAAGCCUUAUGCAAAUCCCCAUCAACAGAAUGGAUCAAAGGAAGGACAGAUUAUCAAGGUUUGAAGACAUGGCAGAGGAAUUCAAUACUUAGCUGGUUACAAAGAUAAAUU